GACGAACGCUGGCGGCGUGCUUAACACAUGCAAGUCGAGCGGUAAGGCCCUUUCGGGGGUACACGAGCGGCGAACGGGUGAGUAACACGUGGGUGACCUGCCCUUAGCUCUGGGAUAAGCCUGGGAAACUGGGUCUAAUACCGGAUAUGACUCCAUGACGCAUGUUGUGGGGUGGAAAGCCUUGUGCGGCUAGGGAUGGGCCCGCGGCCUAUCAGCUUGUUGGUGGGGUGAUGGCCUACCAAGGCGACGACGGGUAGCCGGCCUGAGAGGGCGACCGGCCACACUGGGACUGAGACACGGCCCAGACUCCUACGGGAGGCAGCAGUGGGGAAUCUUGCGCAAUGGGCGAAAGCCUGACGCAGCGACGCCG
rnacentral:rRNA from 1 species